rnacentral:rRNA from 1 species
GAUGACAAUAGCGUUGUGGCACCACCUGAUCCCAUGCCGAACUCAGAAGUGAAACAUAACUGCGCCGAUGGUAGUGUGGGAGUUCCCAUGUGAGAGUAGGUCA